rnacentral:rRNA from 1 species
UACGUAGGGGGCAAGCGUUGUCCGGAUUUAUUGGGCGUAAAGAGCGUGUAGGCGGCCUGACAGGUCUGCUGUGAAAACUCGAGGCUCAACCUCGAGAUGUCGGCGGAAACCGUCUGGCUAGAGUCCGGGAAGAGGAGAGUGGAAUCCUGGUGUAGCGGUGAAAUGCGCAGAUAUCAGGAAGAACACCGUGGCGAAGGCGGCUCUCUGGGACGGUACUGACGCUGAGACGCGAAAGCGUGGGGAGCGAACAGG